rnacentral:rRNA from 1 species
AGAGUUUGAUCCUGGCUCAGGAUGAACGCUAGCUACAGGCUUAACACAUGCAAGUCGAGGGGCAGCAUGAACUUAGCUUGCUAAGUUUGAUGGCGACCGGCGCACGGGUGAGUAACACGUAUCCAACCUUCCGUUUACUCAGGGAUAGCCUUUCGAAAGAAAGAUUAAUACCUGAUAGUAUGGUGAGAUUGCAUGAUAGCACCAUUAAAGAUUUAUUGGUAAACGAUGGGGAUGCGUUCCAUUAGGUAGUAGGCGGGGUAACGGCCCACCUAGCCGACGAUGGAUAGGGGUUCUGAGAGGAAGGUCCCCCACAUUGGAACUGAGACACGGUCCAAACUCCUACGGGAGGCAGCAGUGAGGAAUAUUGGUCAAUGGGCGAGAGCCUGAACCAGCCAAGUAGCGUGAAGGAUGACUGCCCUAUGGGUUGUAAACUUCUUUUAUAAAGGAAUAAAGUCGGGUAUGCAUACCCGUUUGCAUGUACUUUAUGAAUAAGGAUCGGCUAACUCCGUGCCAGCAGCCGCGGUAAUACGGAGGAUCCGAGCGUUAUCCGGAUUUAUUGGGUUUAAAGGGAGCGUAGAUGGAUGUUUAAGUCAGUUGUGAAAGUUUGCGGCUCAACCGUAAAAUUGCAGUUGAUACUGGUUUCCUUGAGUGCAGUUGAGGCAGGCGGAAUUCGUGGUGUAGCGGUGAAAUGCUUAGAUAUCACGAAGAACCCCGAUUGCGAAGGCAGCUUGCUAAACUGUAACUGACGUUCAUGCUCGAAAGUGUGGGUAUCAAACAGGAUUAGAUACCCUGGUAGUCCACACGGUAAACGAUGGAUACUCGCUGUUGGCGAUAUACUGUCAGCGGCCAAGCGAAAGCAUUAAGUAUCCCACCUGGGGAGUACGCCGGCAACGGUGAAACUCAAAGGAAUUGACGGGGGCCCGCACAAGCGGAGGAACAUGUGGUUUAAUUCGAUGAUACGCGAGGAACCUUACCCGGGCUUAAAUUGCAGACGAAUUACGAGGAAACUUGUAAGCCGCAAGGCGUCUGUGAAGGUGCUGCAUGGUUGUCGUCAGCUCGUGCCGUGAGGUGUCGGCUUAAGUGCCAUAA